GAAGGUGGCCGGAGCGUGGUGGUGAUGAGGCGGUUUUGAGAUGGUGUUUUAUACGCCCGUGCGGGGCGGGGUGGCGGGGAGGUGUGAGUGGGAAGGAGGAGGUUGAUUAGUUCGGACGCGGGAAAGGAUCCGACGGCUGGGAGGGAGGCGAUCGGCGGUUGCUUGUGGUUGUGGAGAUGGUUUGCUUUGUGGCCAAGGCGUUGUCGCGGCGAGGCCGACGUGC
rnacentral:lncRNA from 1 species